UCUGUAUUUCAUAUGUUCAUUAAUGAUAUUUUUCUUCUAAAAUGCUCAUUUUGUACCAUCACUUUUAUAUCUCUGAAUUACAUGGUAGGUAAAUAUUUGAUAGUCUUUCUUAUGGUUGUAGUAAGAUAGUGGUCACCAAAAGCAAGGGGGAACCAUCCAGGGAAAAAUGUUCAUGGAUGAGUGGGGAUUGCGUGUCAUCACUUAAUAUCUGGCUUUCUGCAAGCCUGUAAAAAUAUCUUGUACAUGCUCAAUAGUGCUGCUAGUUUUUGAACAGUAUAGAUGACAAUGAGUUGUUUUCAAGUAGCUUGAGUUUGGGCUGGUUUUCAUUGCCUAGCUGAAGCACCCUCUAUUUGCACCAAAUUAAUGCUUGUAACAGUUCAAUCUGAACCUGGCCCAUUAACUAGGGGCUCCAAGUCUGGGUCAAAAUUGCUAAAUCUAAUCAAGAGUCCUUAAAAAGAAGUUUGCUUGGGAAAGAGCUUCUACUCAUGAAUCCUCGAUAAAAUUGAAAUUAAGGCCUCCAAUGCCUCUAGGUUCUAAAAUGUGGAAUUUAGCUUUGUUUUUUGCUUGGGAAGCUAGAAAGCUUAGCAUGUUAUUCAACUUUCUUCUUAUAUAGUAAUGAAAUGCGCUCAAAAGUGGUGGAGGUCACAAUUAAUUCUAAUAGUUGGCAGGGGUUCUUUCUUGACUAAGGUGGUGUUUGUUUUUUUUCCUUAAUUCUAAAUAGAACUUAAAACUAAAUAGUGUUUAAUACUGUUAAGUAUUAGGUUGUUUGUGUUUGUAAUAUUUUAUUUCUAUUAAGCAUUAAAAAGUAAAGAAAAACUAAUAUAGAAAAAACCAAUAUUUUGUCCUUUUUUAUCCAGCCAAAAAUUUCUAGUAAGUCAUGAAAAAGUAGAUAAACAAACAACCUAAAGUUUGAAAGCAAAUUGUUUUUAGCAAAAAGUUAAAAAAAACAUAUACCCUAAGUCAUUAAAGACCAUUCUCACCUCACCUUAGCUCAUAGAGUGGGGUUGGUUUUUUGCAAAUUUUGGUGUUGCCAAUGCAAGCAUAAUGAAGGGUUGGCUGACCAUAUCCUUAACCAUUGUGGGACGCCUUGUUGUUUCUGUACUUGGUUAUUCUCCUUGUUUGGAGUCUCAUGGGUGCUUCCCCAUUCUGCCAAGUAGAUGUUACUGGGUUGGCAUGGGAAUUUCCUGUACAAAAGCUGCAAGAGGAUAUGGAAGUUGCCCCUGUUUGCUUGAUUUGGUACAAGGGUAGUGGUAUCGAAGAAUUGUUUAGGGCUUGGAACUUUUGGGAUGAUGAUGAAAAAUAUCUUCAUUAAGUUUUUCUUUACUUGGUCUCAUGAUUCAUUGGGGAUUGAUAAUGGUGCUUUUUUAGAUUUCAUUGACAGUUAAGAUGGCACAGUGCCUAUUUAUCUUCUUCGUCUUGUUGGUUUUUUUUAGGCACACUUGAUAUACUUCAUGCGUUCUUAGACUGCACUCCAUUUUUUUCCUAUGCACCUACUGAUAUAUCCUUGGUUUCCUAACAAGAAAAAGAAAGAGAAAGAGAAAACAAGAGAAGAAGAAGAAGAAUCCAUGAUUAAUUCCUAUAAGCAGCUUUAAUUCUGCAGAAAUAUAUACUGAUAUUUCCUACUAAAAAUUGGGAAAAAUGGGACUUUAAAAAUAAACUACAUGUAUGGAGUUGUCUGUUGGUUUCAAUUGGGAUACCUAUUAUGAACCCUCAAUGUUCUUAUUCGACAAAAUUUUCAUACAUUUUAGUGGGACAACACAAUUUUUUGACAACAUGAUUUUCUGGGUCAAAUUAAUUUGACUUUGCUAUCUAACCCCAAGUUUUUAAAGGCGUUUCUCGAGCACGCCUCAGGGCGAGGCCGGGCUAAAAUGCCUUGAGGCGUAAGAAAUAAAACGCGACUCUUGAAAGGCGUACGCCUUUUCUAGUGAGGUGUGACGUCUUUUAUGCUCCAAGAAGAAAGCGUACGCUUUGUGAGAGCUGAUGUGGCCAUAAACAGAAAUAAAAAAAAAAACCCUAAGUAAUCCCUAAAAUAGCAACCCAAGUCCCGAUUGAAAACUUUGGCAAACACAUAUUGGGAGAAAAGCUCAAAACGAAACCCUAUCUCAAGUGGCGACGGAGUGCUCAACCUCAGGCGGUGACCAACCGUAGUGCAUCUUCUCCGGCGACGAUCCCUCUCAUUCAUCUCCAGAAUGAGUUCCUCCGAUUUGAAAAAUUCAAGAAAAGAUUUUGUGUGGAAGUAUGUUGUUGAAGUUUCCAGGGAGCAAUAUUUAAGAUGUAAAUUUUGCAAUCAAAGAUGUGCGGAAGGGGUGAAUAGACUCAAGCAUCACUUAGCAGGAACUGAUCAUGGUAUGAAACCAUGCAACAAAGUUAGUGAAGAUGCUAGAUUGGAAUGCAAAGAGGCAUUGACCAAUUUUAAGGAUCAAAAAACGAAAAAAAAAUGAAUUGCUCCAAGAAAUUGGUAUGGAUCCAACUUCAAUGCAUGAGAGUGACUUGUCUAAAACAAUAGGGACAUUAGGGAGUGGGAGUGGGAGUGGGAAACCUAUUCCUAGGGGACCCAUGGAUAAAUUUAUCACUUCACAACCUAGACAAAGUACUUUGAAUUCAAAGUGGAAGCAAGAAGAAAGGAAGGAAGUGUGUAGAAAAAUUGGUAGGUUUAUGUAUUCAAAAGGUCUCCCAUUCAACACUGUGAAUGAUCCUUAUUGGUUUCCUAUGAUGGGUGCUGUUGCAAAUUUUGAGCCCGGGUUUAAGCCUCCAUCUAUGCACGAAUUGAGGACAUGGAUUCUUAAAGAAUAGGUGAAUGACCUAAGUAUCAUUAUGGAAGAUCACAAAAAAGCUUGGAAAUAAUAUGGAUGUUCAAUUAUGUCAGAUGGUUGGACAGAUGGAAAGAGUAGGUGUCUUAUCAAUUUUUUGGUGAAUAGUCCUGCUGACACUUGGUUUAUGAAAUCAAUUGAUACUUCUGAUACAAUAAAAAAUGGGGAAUUGAUGUUCAAAUAUCUUGAUGAGGUGGUUGAAGAAAUUGGAGAGGAUAAUGUUGUGCAAGUCAUCACUGAUAAUGCCUUUAAUUAUGUGAAUGCUGGAAUGAGGCUUAUGGAAAAAAGGAGAAGAUUGUGGUGGACUCCUUGUGCUGCUCAUUGUAUUGAUUUGAUGUUGGAGAAUAUUGGAAAGCUAAAUGUUCAUGCUACUACACUUUCUCGAGCUAGGCAAGUAGUGAAGUUCAUAUAUGGACAUACUUAGGUUCUUAGCUUGAUGAGAACAUUUACAAAAAAUCAUGAACUUCUUUGUCUAGCAAUUACACGGUUUGCUACUGCAUUUCUUACCCUCCAAAGUCUUUAUAAGCAAAAGCAAGCUCUUAUAGCAAUGUUCUCCUCAGAAAAAUGGUGUUCAAGCACAUGAGCUGAAAAUGUAGAAGGUGUGAAAACUCGAAGUACAGUAUUGUUUGAUCCAAAAUUUUGGCCUCAUGUUGCUUUUUGCAUAAAGACCACUGUUCCAUUAGUUAGUGUCUUGAGAGAGGUUGAUUCAGAGGAAAGACCAGCCAUGGGUUAUAUUUAUGAGUUGAUGGAUUCAAUUAAGGAGAAGAUUGCAUUUAAUUGUGGGGGCGUGGAGAGAAAAUAUGGCCCAAUUUGGAGAAAAAUUGAUGCAAGAUGGACUUUGCAACUUCAUCGACCUUUACAUGUAGCAGGUUAUUAUCUUAAUCCUCAAUUGCGGUAUGGAGAUAAGUUCUCUAAUGUUGAUGAGAUGAGGAAGGGAUUAUUUGAAUGCAUGGAUAAGAUGUUGGAUUAUCAAGAACAUUUAAAAGCUGACAUUCAGUUGGACUCAUAUGACCAAGCAAUGGGUGAAUUUGGGAGUCGUAUUGCAAUUGAUUCUUGAACAUUAAGAAGUCCUAUAAGUUGGUGAUGCGUUUUGGGGGUUCAACACCGAAGUUGCAAAAGUUUGCUAUUCAAGUCCUUAGCCUUAUUUGUAGUGCUUUGGGAUGUGAAAGAAAUUGGAGCACAUUUGAAUCAGUAAUACUUCUAUUUUUGUAAAUUUUUAUGCCUAUAUUUCUAUUUCAAUGUUAGUGAACUUUAUUUCAUUUUAACACAUAAAUUUGUUUCUUUUAUUAUUUGUAGAUCCAUACAAAAAAAAGAAAUAGAUUUGAACAUCAAAGGUUGAAUGCUCUAGUGUAUGUAAGGUACAACACUAGAUUGAGAGAGCGAAGUUUACAAAGGAAACAAAAUGUUGAUCCGAUUUUGGUAGAGGAGAUUGAUUCGGAUGAUGAAUGGAUUGCAGAGAAAGAAGAUCCCUUCCUCCCCCUUGAUCUUUGUUGGCUUCAAGAUAAUGAGUUAUUCAGUGUUGAUGCUAUUAGAGUUGUGUCAUCCAACUCCCAAGAGACUCAAGCAUCAUCGGAUCACAUGGUUUCUUUACAUUUCUACAAAAGGAAACAUAAUGAAGUACCAAGUACAAGUGGAGGCAAAGGCAAAGAGAAGGAGUUGAAUUUGACACCAAUUGUUGAAGAUGAAGAUUUACAUGAAAUGGGGAUACAUGAUUGUGGACAUUUUCCUACUAUUGAUACAUUGGAUGAGGAUGAUGAUGACCUUGGAGAGGAGGAUUUAAGUUGAAACAAUUUACUCUAGUUGUUAUUUCAUGACUUAGUUAUGGAUUUUUUGUAAAAGUUUAGAACUAUUAUUAAGUUUGACUCUAUUUUCUAUUUCAUGACUUAGUUAUGACUCUUUGUUAAAGUUUGAAACUAUUAGUAUAGUUGAAUCUAUUUUCUAUUUUAUGACUUUGUUGUGGUUUUUUGUGAAAGUAGGGAACUAGUAUGUCUUUUUUAUUUAUGAUUCUAAUGAAUUGUUUUCCUGUUUUUAUUUAUGCUAUUUUAUUUUAUAUAUUUUAAAAUAUUAAUUAAUUAUAUAAUGUGAGGCUUAAAAAGCUUACACCUCAACGCCUCGAGGCUUACGCCUCGCCUCACGAACACAAAAACAUCUCGUCUUACGCUUUCGCCUUUAAAAACUUUGAUCUAACCCACCUCAUCUUAUUUCAUCCUUUUCAUGUUCGUAGGGCUGCAUUGGAAUUAGAAUAUGCUGAGAGAGUACAGAUGGAUGGUUUGAUUUAUUUUGUGUACUUUAUGUUAGAAAGUUAGUUUGGUUAGAUUAGUUCAAAUUGGACUCAAAUUUUAGAAUGGAUAGGUUCAUUGAUUUGAGGAAUUUUAGAAUGGAUAGGUUCCUUGGUUUUUUUGUACGUAGUCAAAGUUUUAUUCAAAUUAGGAUUAGAAUCAGAUUUAUUUUUCAGUUUCCUUAUUUUUAGCCUAGGAAUUAUCCAUCUGCUGGUUAUUUAAACGGAUGUAGCCUGUGUUAUGAAGAUUAGAAUAAUAAAAUAGAAGUUUAUCCAAAAAAACCUUUCACAGUUUUAUGAUAUCAGAGCUAGAGAGAAAAAAAAAAGGAGAGUAGAACGAUGGUGAAGACUGCUAUGACUGGCACAACUCACAGGGAGGAAUCUGAUGCCUCAUAUGGGACUUCACAGCUACAAUUUCCAGCAACAAAUCCAGGCGGUACAGAGAAUCCAACCCAGCAAAUUAUGAUUCAUAAAUUAAAUGGACGUAAUUUUCUUCACUGGUCGCAAUUGGUGAAGCUGUUCAUCAGAGGAAAAGGAAAGUUUGGCUAUCUCACAAGCACCAACAAAGCACCUAAAUCAGAAGAUCCUGUGUACCAAACCUGGGAUUCUGAGAAUUCCAUGGUAAUGGUCUGGUUAAUCAACUCCAUGGAGGUAGCUAUUAGGCAGACCUACCUCUUUCUUCCUAUCGCCAAGGACCUCUAGGAUGUAGUCUAAGAGACUUAUUCAGAUCUAGGUAAUGCUGCUCAAAUGUUUGAAAUUAAGACUAAGUUGAAAGAUAUUAAACAUGGUAGUUAUAGUGUUACACGAUACUAUAAUAUCCUUCAAAAUGCAUGACAAGAACUUGAUUUAUUUUCUAUUAUGGACUGGAAGUGUGUUGAAGAUAGUGCCCAUUAUUGCAAGAUUCUCGAAAAUAAAGGGCAUUUGAUUUUUUGGUAGGACUCAAUAAGGAACUUGAUGAGGUUUGAGGUUGAAUCCUGGGAAAAGAGCCACUGCCAUCUAUAAGGGAGAUCUUCUCUGAGGUGUGACGGGAAGAGAGUAGGCGGAAAGUGAUGUUGGGAGAACAACAAUCUAGCCAAUUUGAGACUUCUACCCUGGUUAUUCAUGGUGGGGAGACUUUUCAACCAAAUGACUAGUGACCAAGAAAAAAGGGUGAUCGUCCUUGGUGUGACCACUGUAAAAAACUAGGCCACACAAGAGAUACGUGUUGGAAAAUCCACGGGAAGCCGCCUAUUAGGAGAAACCCGAGACCUGACCGCAAUUCCAAAGCCUACCAUAGUGAAUCCGAGAACCCUAACAACUAAAUAACCACUUCACCAUUCACCAAGGAGCAGUUAGAUGUCUUGCAAUAUCUCCUUAAUCCACACACUACAUCCACUUCUGUCUUAGGUUCACCAAAUGUUGAUCCCUCACCAUCUUGCUUUCUAGCAUAAUAAGGUAGAACUCAAUACCCAUUUAGUGCCUUAGUCAAUUCUUAUAAACCUUGGAUCAUUGAUUCCGGAGCUAUAGAUCACAUGACUUGGUCAUCCACUUCAUUUACAACAUGUGUACCAUGUGCUGGUAAUAUGAAAGUUUGAAUUGCAGAUGGGUCAUAUACCCCGGUCGUUGGAAAAGGAACCAUCUCCCUGACAAAAACUUUUUCUCUUGAAUUAGUCUUACAUGUCUCAAAUUUGUCGUGUAAUUUAUUGUCCAUUAGUAAACUCACUAGAGAUCUCAAUUGUGUAGCUAAAUAUUCUUCUACUGGUGUUGUUUUUUAGGACUUAGCUUUGGGGAGGACGAUUGGUAGUGCAUGUGAGUGUGAAGGUCUAUACCACUUUGAUGACCGUGAAGUUGUGCAAGGACAAGCCGCUGUUGCUGGUAGCAGUGUUUUAUCUUUACCUUUUGAUCAUGAAACGAUGUUAUGAUACUUGUUUCCAAAACUUUUCAAAAAUAAAAGGUUGUCCAAUUUUCAAUGUGAAGUGUGUCAAAUGGCAAAGCAUACCAGAUUAGUAUUUCCUGCUAAACCUUACAGGUCCUCUAAAUCUUUUACUCUCAUACAUAGUGAUCUUUGGGGACCAUCUCGGGUAACAGAUCUAAUUGGUGCAAAAUGGUUCAUUACCUUCAUCGAUAAUCAUUCAAGAAUUUGUUGGGUUUACCUCCUUAAAGAAACAUCUAAAGUCUUUCAAACCUUCAAAAAUUUCUAUUCAAUGAUCAAAAAUCAGUUUCAAACGUCCAUUACAAUUCUUAGAACCGACAAUGGUAGUGAAUAUAUAUAUGUUGUUCUUGGAGAAUUUUUAUCAAUUAAUGGGAUUAUUCAUCAAAAAUCAUGUGUAGAUACUCCACAACAAAAUGGAGUUGCCGAAAGAAAGAAUAAGCCCCUCUUAGAAGUUGCUUGGUCCUUAUUAUUUUCAAUGAAUGUUAGAAAAAUACAUUGGGGGGAUGCCAUUCUUACAGCAGCAUAUUUGAUCAAUUGGAUGCCCUCAAAAGUUCUUAAUUUUAAAACUCCCAUUGUUGUUUUUCUUGCUUCAUUCCUAGAUUCUUGAAUUUGCCAAGAUCUACCAAUUAAAAUUUUUGGGUGCAUUGCUUUUGUACAUGUUCAUUCACAUAAUCGUGUUAAACUUGAUCCUAGGGCUAUGAAAUGCUUAUUUUUAGGAUAUGCAGCAACUAAAAGAGGAUAUAGAUGUUUUGAUCCUGUUAAUUGGAAACUGUACAUCGCUAAAGAUGUAACCUUCUUUGAAUAGCAAUCCUAUUACACUUCGCUUCAAGGGGAGAAUUCUACUGAAGCUUCGUCAUGGAAAAUUCCACAAUCUCCUUUUCUGGUUCCUAAACUCCCAGCAACAAGUCCAGUGUCUACUCAAAUCUCUCCAUCCAUUCCUUUCGUUCGAUCAAACCCAACAAUAGUUCGAGUACAUGACAGAUUGUCAAAUGCAUGGGAAGAUAAAGCAUUGCCACCAACAACCCAGUCUACACCACAGUUCAAAGUCUGCUGAAGGAGGUGUAUAGUACCUGAUACACUCACACCUUGCCAUGAAGCCACAUCGGAGAUAGUGCUUGAAUCAGGUUUGGAUAAUUCUUCAUUCCCCCUCACAUUCCUUACUUCAUGUAGACCCAGUGCAUAGUGACUUAGAUCUCCCGAUAGCACUUAGGAAAGGUGUUAGAUCCUGUACCAUUCAUCCCAUAUCUAAUUUUGUCUCUUAUCAUAGAUUAUCCUCGUCUUUUUCUGCUUUUACCUCUCACCUUUCUUCCAUAGAAAUUCCAAAAAAUGUACAAGAAACAUUUGGUGAUCCAAGAUGGAAAGCAGCAGUUGUGGAGGAAGUCAAAGCUUUGAUAAAAAAUGGAAUGUGGGAACUUGUUACCCUACCAAAAGGUAAAAGAAUUGAGAUGUAAAUGGGCUUUUUCAGUAAAAUACAAAUCUGAUAGCUCGGUGGAACGAUACAAGGCAAGAUUGGUUGUUAAAGGAUUUACUUAGACUUAUGGGAUAGAUUACCAGAAGACUUUUGCACUGAUGGCAAAAUUGAACACAAUCCAAAUUCUUCUCUCUCUGGCUGCAAACUAUGAUUGGCCUUGUCAGCAGCUGGACAUAAAAAAUGCUUUUCUCAAUGGGGAAUUAGAGGAGGAGGUUUACAUGGUAGUACCACCAGGACUUGAACAAGGAAGUUCCAAUAAAGUUUGUCAAUUGAAGAAAGCUCUCUACGGUCUCAAACAAUCACCUCGGGCAUGGUUCGAAAGACUCUUAAGAGUAGUAAAACAAUAUGGCUAUCCUCAAGGACAUUUAGAUCAUACCAUGUUUUACAAAUCUACUGAUGAGGGUAAAAUAACUGUUCUCGUAGUUUAUGUUGAUGAUAUGAUUUUAAUAGGCAAUAAUCAUGUAGAAAUUGAAGCUUUGAAGAAGAUCCUAGCUAAGGAGUUUGAGGUAAAGGACCUUGUUGCACUAAGGUAUUUUCUAGGAACGGAGAUUGCCAAAAAAAAAAAUGGAAUCUCUGUUUCUAAAAAAAAUACACUUUAGACUUACUCAAGGAAACAGGGAUCCUUUGUUGCAAGCCCAACGACAUUCCGAUUGAUUCAAGACACAAGAUAGACCCGACUGAAAAAGGGGAUCCAGUUGACAAAGGAAGAUACCAACGGUUGGUUGGAAAGCUCAUUUACCUCUCUCACACUAGGCCGAAUAUUGCUUUUGCAGUAAGUACAGUUAAUUAGUACAUGCAUUCUCCAUAUGAAGUACACAUGAAUGUUGUCUAUAAAAUACUGCAGCAUCUCAAAGGAACCCCAAGAAAAGGACUUCACUUUGGAAAGCACGAUCAAUUCAAAAUAAAGGCCUUCACAGAUGCAGAUUGGGCGGGGUCUAUAGAAGAUAGGAGGUCAACAUCUGGCUAUUGUACAUUUGUAUUUGGAAAUCUUGUCACAUGGAGAAGUAAAAAACAAAAUGUGGUGGCGAGAAGUAGUGUUGAAGUUGGGUUUAGAUCGAUAGCUCAUGGAAUUUGUGAAGUCUUGUGGAUCAAGAGAGUAUUAGAAGAACUAAAGAUUACAAUUCAUCCUCCAGCUAAGAUGUAUUGUAACAACAAGGCAACUAUAAGCAUCUCCCACAAUCCAGUCCACCAUGAUUGAACAAAACAUGUUGAGGUGGACUGACAUUUUAUCAAGGAAAAAAUUGAGCAAGGGGAAAUAUGCAUGACAUAUGUGCCAUCCAAAAGCCAGAUUGCAGAUGUUUUAACUAAAAGGAUCCUGACAGAAGACUUUGAAGAUAAUGUGGACAAGUUGGGUAUGAUAGACAUCUAUGUCCCAACUUGAGGGGGAUUGUUGGGAAGUUAGUUUGAUUAGACUAGUUCAAAUUGGACUCAAAUUUUAGAAUGGAUAGGUUCCUUGAUUUGAGGAAUUAUUUGAAUUCUAGUUUUUUUGUACUAGUCGAAGUUUUAUUCAGAUUAGGAUUAGAAUCAGAUUUGUUUUUCAAUUUCCUUAUUUUUAGAUUAGGAAUUAUCUAUCUGCUGGUUAUUUAAAUGGAUGUAGCCUGUGUUAUGAAGAUUAGAGCAAUAAAAUAAAAGUUUAUCCAAAAAAACCUUUCAUGGUUUUACUUUCUGUGGUACCUUUUAGUGUGUGUAUAUUGGGGCAUGCAUGGUUUGUCUGUUUUCCUUUUUUUUUUUUUCUGUAGUCAAAACAAAAAGGUGUUAAAUUAAAAGUGUCCAGCAAAAAGGACACACAGAAUCCACCAAAGCCUCCUUCUUAAAGAGAUUUCUUCUAUAACUGAGAUUUCAUCUUCUCCCAUUCCAACAUUCAGAGGCCUAACCUUCUUUGUGAGCUGUUACAUUAAAUAGCCUAGUGAAACAAUCUUUCAGCAGUCUACUUUCACAUCAGAUAUCAUGCCAGAACAUGAUCUAUUGUCCAUUUCCAAUUGAUUAGAGCUUGUCCUUGAGAAAAAAAUUGUCACCCACCUUCAUGGGUUUUUCUUUCCAUUUUGCAUAAGAAAUUUUCUAAUAGCACUGAAAAGUUGUUUCUGAGAAUAAGUGCUUUUCUAGAGUAAAACCAGGGAAGUGCAUUCCUAGACUAAAACUUCCAUGCCUAGUGAACUUAUAGUUUGGAAAAUCAUAAGUGGAUAGUGUACUUAGAUAGUUUAAAAGGUAAAAUUUAUUUUGCAAAUUCAAUUCCCCUAACCAUUUAGAGUUCUAGUAGAAUUUAUUUCCUUUAAAAGGAAUUUUCGAAUUUGUCCCUCCCCGGAUGCCACUUUGGUGGCUCAUGCAAUGGGUAAUGACAUUUUCUAUUCUGGUAUGGAUUUACCUGUACGUCUAUAACGUUUUUUGUCCCAUAUAUAAAUGAUGGAACAUCCUUCUCAAAUUUCUAUAACAGUUUGAAAUGGAAUUCAUAUUAAUAUCUAUUACCUCUUUGUCCACUAGAAUAGUUUGGAACUUUGACCAUUUAGCACUUUAACCAUGUUUAAAUUAUUGUAGUUGGAACUGAUUGAACAAGCCAUAUAUCUUUAUUAGAUGUGUUGGAGGGUCAUUGGAGAUCAUGGUGGCAGGAUGAUCAGGGUGUGAUUGUAGCCUGUUAGUUCUAGGCUAGCUAUAAAAGUAGAGAGUCUAGCUUUAUGGAAAGGUUUUUUGGAGGUGAAAUCUCUGCGGUACUAUAGACUUCUUGUGGAAGGGGAUGCAGUUUUCUUUUGUUGGGUGUCUCUGGGGAAGGUCAUUUGGAGAUAGAAUGGAUGGAUUUGUCAAAUUUUGGUUGUCUUUAAAGAGAUGUGAUUUUCUUUUCACUGGAGGCCUAGAUCAACCAACCAACAGUUGAGUUGGCAAAGCAUGGAGCCUACCUGUUAAAAGGUUUUUGUAGGGAAUUUUCUUCCCAUUGACAGAUUUUAGAGUAUGAUACACUUUGGAAGCUCAUUUUGUUCUUUCUUUUGUACUCUUUCCUUCUUCGGUUUGAAGAACUGCUAAUCUUUGUAUCCUAUCUCUUGUUUUGAUGGUGAAAUGUUUAUUUCCCUAUUAAAAAAGAGGCAUAUAUAUUCCUUCAUAACAUCUAAUGUGUCUUUGCCAAUAAUUGUUUUGUUUCUUAUGCAUUACUAUUCUACCUAUGGUAAAUAAUUUUUUU